GAUGAACGCUAGCGGCAGGCCUAAUACAUGCAAGUCGGACGGGAUUCAGGAGCUCGCUUCUGAUGAGAGUGGCGCACGGGUGCGUAACACGUAUGUAACCUACCUUUAUCAGGGGGAUAGCCUCUCGAAAGAGAGAUUAAGCCCGCAUAAAAUCACAGCACAGCAUUGUGUAAUGAUCAAAUAUUUAUAGGAUAAAGAUGGGCAUGCGGAACAUUAGCUAGAUGGCGGGGUAACGGCCCACCAUGGCGACGAUGUUUAGGGGAUCUGAGAGGAUGGCCCCCCACACUGGUACUGAGACACGGACCAGACUCCUACGGGAGGCAGCAGUAAGGAAUAUUGGUCAAUGGGCGGAAGCCUGAACCAGCCAUGCCGCGUGCAGGAAGACGGCCCUACGGGUUGUAAACUGCUUUUAUACGGGAAUAAACCCAGAUACGUGUAUCUGGCUGAAUGUACUGUAAGAAUAAGGAUCGGCUAACUCCGUG
rnacentral:rRNA from 1 species